rnacentral:rRNA from 1 species
CCGCGUGUGUGAAGAAGGCCUUCGGGUUGUAAAGCACUUUCAGUAAGGAGGAAAGGUUAAGUGUUAAUAGCACUUAGCUGUGACGUUACUUACAGAAGAAGCACCGGCUAACUCCGUGCCAGCAGCCGCGGUAAUACGGAGGGUGCGAGCGUUAAUCGGAAUUACUGGGCGUAAAGCGUACGCAGGCGGUUUGUUAAGCGAGAUGUGAAAGCCCCGGGCUCAACCUGGGAACUGCAUUUCGAACUGGCAAACUAGAGUGUGAUAGAGGGUGGUAGAAUUUCAGGUGUAGCGGUGAAAUGCGUAGAGAUCUGAAGGAAUACCGAUGGCGAAGGCAGCCACCUGGGUCAACACUGACGCUCAUGUACGAAAGCGUGGGGAGCAAACAGGAUUAGAUACCCUGGUAGUCCACGCCGUAAACGAUGUCUACUAGAAGCUCGGGUCUUCGGACUUGUUUUUCAAAGCUAACGCAUUAAGUAGACCGCCUGGGGAGUACGGCCGCAAGGUUAAAA